GUGGGGAAUUUUGGACAAUGGGCGCAAGCCUGAUCCAGCCAUGCCGCGUGCAGGAUGAAGGCCUUCGGGUUGUAAACUGCUUUUGUACGGAACGAAAAGACUCCUUCUAAUAAAGGGGGUCCAUGACGGUACCGUAAGAAUAAGCACCGGCUAACUACGUGCCAGCAGCCGCGGUAAUGCGUAGGGUGCAAGCGUUAAUCGGAAUUACUGGGCGUAAAGCGUGCGCAGGCGGUUAUAUAAGACAGAUGGGAAAUCCCCGGGCUCAACCUGGGAACUGCAUUUGGGACUGUAUAGCUAGAGUACGGUAGAGGGGGAUGGAAUUCCGCGUGUAGCAGUGAAAUGCGUAGAUAUGCGGAGGAACACCGAUGGCGAAGGCAAUCCCCUGGACCUGUACUGACGCUCAUGCACGAAAGCGUGGGGAGCAAACAGGAUUAGAUACCCCGGUAGUCC
rnacentral:rRNA from 1 species